GGCUACAAGCCCAUGGUAUCGCUUCAGGACUUCUGCUUAGGUCUUCAAUCUCCUUUAAGGUUUUAACUGUGCCUCUGAAACUACAGUAGCCAUCUUGAAAGAACAGUUCCAGACUUCAUCUGCUUCUGAAACCAAGAAUUCUAUGGACAGCAUGCGGGAUCAGUGCCAGCAACUCAGGAUCAGACACUGGGAGAGAAACUACACUGUACUUGCAUACAUACAGGGGAUCUCACCAAGGGAGCUCUUGAGCCUCACAAUACAAUAAACUCCUUUACUUCAAUAUUCAAACAAGAUUUUGGAUCACGUACGCAGAAAGACAUACCCUGCAAAACCGAAAAACAAACAAACAAACAAACCUAAACAGAAAAUGGCAAAUGCAAGUAAAAAGUAAAAUACGGAUGCAAAAGUUAGGGUGUGAAGUGCAAAUGAAAAACGGAGUUGGUAGGAAAGUGAACGGUCAGUCUGACUGAGCUGCACAACAGUGCCUUCCUCACAUGAGAGGUUUCCUGGGCAGAGCUAAAGCAUAG
rnacentral:lncRNA from 1 species